CCGUGCUAGAUGGGGAGGUAGCGGUGCCCUGUAACCCGCAAUCCGCUAUAGCGGGAUUGAAUUCCUGUCAAAGGUCUUGUCGCUGUAAGGUCUGACGUCUCUACGAAGUGUUGACGGCCGGGUCCUUCGCAAUGGAUGCCCAUGAACCCGGUCAGGUCCGGAAGGAAGCAGCCGUAAGUGGGAGUGUCCAUGUGCCGAGGGGCAGCCUAGCCCGAGCUUACGAUAGGCGUUCCGCUUGGAUCGCAAUGAUCGAUGGCAGGUGCACGG
rnacentral:SRP_RNA from 1 species